GUAACAUAGUAACAGAGAGAGAGAAAAAGAAAGGAAGCAGGAGAAUGGUUUUCAGAGACCAUCACUACAUGUGUCCUCAAACAAGGAGUCUGAAGAAUGGUGUGUCGCUAGGCCUCUUGAUCAGAGGCUAGAACGGACCACUGAUGGUGGUCAGUGUGACAGGCAUCAAGGGAUUUCUUCAAAGAGUCUGUAUUUCUUCUUGACCUCAUCCCCUGCCUGACCCUCGGACACCUCCUGAACGCUACCCCAUGCAUCGACGCUGGACCGACC